rnacentral:rRNA from 1 species
ACUCCUACGGGAGGCAGCAGGUGGGGAAUAUUGCACAAUGGGCGCAAGCCUGAUGCAGCCAUGCCGCGUGUGUGAAAGAAGGCCUUCGGGUUGUAAAGCACUUUCAGUCGUGAGGAAGGUAGUGUAGUUAAUAGCUGCAUUAUUUGUACGUUAGCGACAGAAGAAGCACCGGCUAACUCCGUGCCAGCAGCCGCGGUAAUACGGAGGGUGCGAGCGUUAAUCGGAAUUACUGGGCGUAAAGCGCAUGCAGGUGGUUUGUUAAGUCAGAUGUGAAAGCCCGGGGCUCAACCUCGGAAUAGCAUUUGAAACUGGCAGACUAGAGUACUGUAGAGGGGGGUAGAAUUUCAGGUGUAGCGGUGAAAUGCGUAGAGAUCUGAAGGAAUACCGGUGGCGAAGACGGCCCCCUGGACAGAUACUGACACUCAGAUGCGAAAGC